UACAGAGGUCCCAAGCGUUGUUCGGAUUCACUGGGCGUAAAGGGUGCGUAGGCGGUCGGGUAAGUCUGAUGUGAAAUCUCACAGCUUAACUGUGAAACUGCAUUGGAUACUAUCCGGCUCGAGGAAUGGAGGGGAGACUGGAAUACUUGGUGUAGCAGUGAAAUGCGUAGAUAUCAAGUGGAACACCAGUGGCGAAGGCGAGUCUCUGGACAUUUCCUGACGCUGAUGCGCGAAAGCCAGGGGAGCAAACGGG
rnacentral:rRNA from 1 species